GGAAGUAAAAGUUGUAACAAGGUCUCCGUUGGUGAACCAGCGGAGGGAUCAUUACAGAGUUUUCACAACUCCCAACCCUUGCGAACCGUACCCAUUCUGUUCUCGUUGCUUCCGGCGGGGGGGACGGGGGGGCCCGAAACGGCCUCCCCGCCCCGCCCGCCGGGGGCGGCGGGCCCUACGAACCUUUAUAUCUCAACCACCAGAAACCGUCUGAGAAAACAAACAAAAUAAUCAAAGCUUUCAACAACGGAUCUCUUGGCUCUG
rnacentral:misc_RNA from 1 species